AUGAAGGCCACUAUCAUCCUCCUUCUGCUUGCACAAGUUUCCUGGGCUGGACCGUUUCAACAGAGAGGCUUAUUUGACUUUAUGCUAGAAGAUGAGGCUUCUGGGAUAGGCCCAGAAGUUCCUGAUGACCGCGACUUCGAGCCCUCCCUAGGCCCAGUGUGCCCCUUCCGCUGUCAAUGCCAUCUUCGAGUGGUCCAGUGUUCUGAUUUGGGUUGUCUACCUUCAUAA
rnacentral:lncRNA from 1 species